AUGAAGGCAACUGGAAUACCAGAGGAAUGUUCAAAGCCUUUCCCACACUCUUGUCCAGUGUUGACUUCUUGGGAUGAGUUGGCAAUCACUGAGGCAUAUUUGGUUCUGCCAAAGUGUCUACAAAUGGAAGAACUGUUGAAAGCAGCUUGUAGCUUGAGGAAAGGGCUGUUUCUGGAAGGCGGCUGCCUAGAAUGGAGGACUCCCACACAAGGACUUGCUUUUAGGCCAAGGUCAGUAUGAGAAGCCAAGAAACACACUUUACCUUAAAAUGGACCAAGGUCA
rnacentral:lncRNA from 1 species